GACCGCCGUGUGCGGUGAAAGCUGCAUGCACGGUGCGGAGUGGGGGAAAAACUGGAGAUAGUCUCAAAGGUUUACCUAUCACUAU
rnacentral:ncRNA from 1 species